rnacentral:rRNA from 1 species
UACACACCGCCCGUCACACCAUGGGAGCGGGUUCUGCCAGAACGUAGUUAGCCUAACCGCAAGGAGGGCCGAUUACCACGGCAGGGUUCGUGACUGGGGUGA